rnacentral:rRNA from 1 species
GCUGGCGGCAGGCCUAACACAUGCAAGUCGAACGGUAACAGGAAGAAGCUUGCUUCUUUGCUGACGAGUGGCGGACGGGUGAGUAAUGUCUGGGAAACUGCCUGAUGGAGGGGGAUAACUACUGGAAACGGUAGCUAAUACCGCAUAACGUCGCAAGACCAAAGAGGGGGACCUUCGGGCCUCUUGCCAUCGGAUGUGCCCAGAUGGGAUUAGCUAGUAGGUGGGGUAACGGCUCACCUAGGCGACGAUCCCUAGCUGGUCUGAGAGGAUGACCAGCCACACUGGAACUGAGACACGGUCCAGACUCCUACGGGAGGCAGCAGUGGGGAAUAUUGCACAAUGGGCGCAAGCCUGAUGCAGCCAUGCCGCGUGUAUGAAGAAGGCCUUCGGGUUGUAAAGUACUUUCAGCGGGGAGGAAGGGAGUAAAGUUAAUACCUUUGCUCAUUGACGUUACCCGCAGAAGAAGCACCGGCUAACUCCGUGCCAGCAGCCGCGGUAAUACGGAGGGUGCAAGCGUUAAUCGGAAUUACUGGGCGUAAAGCGCACGCAGGCGGUUUGUUAAGUCAGAUGUGAAAUCCCCGGGCUCAACCUGGGAACUGCAUCUGAUACUGGCAAGCUUGAGUCUCGUAGAGGGGGGUAGAAUUCCAGGUGUAGCGGUGAAAUGCGUAGAGAUCUGGAGGAAUACCGGUGGCGAAGGCGGCCCCCUGGACGAAGACUGACGCUCAGGUGCGAAAGCGUGGGGAGCAAAC